rnacentral:lncRNA from 1 species
CUGCCAUAAACUGCCAUAUACAGCCAUAUAAAUUAACUGUUAUAUGCGACCAUCCUGUCAUAAAAACACUUUAGUCUCCUAUAGAAAUAAGCCAUACCAUUAUCUACCAUAAAGUACUGAAUUAUUCCUCCAUUAUUGCAGCACUUGUGGCAGAGCUGACGGCUCUAAAGAUCCAAAUGGAUGACAAUGAGCAGAACGUGGAGAACCUGACUCAUCAGAAUGCAGAACAAGCAGCAGAGCUGAAAGCUGUCAAGAACCAAGUAGAAGAUCUGCAGCAGAAGAACUCAGAGAUUGGAGGACUGAAGACCAGACUAACAUCAGUGGAGACCAAAGUGGAGAAACUGAACAACAUGAAUGCAGGGUUCUUCACCGCUCCAGUGAAGGGCGUUUACUUCUUCAGGUUCACCGUGGCGGACAUCCUCUCAUCGCGCACCAUGUACACAGCGCUGUACAGGUACCAGCAGAGGAUCAUGUUGCUGGGGGAGUACGACAUGGACCACCACAUCUCCUACCUGGUCGGCGGCGUG